CAGCCGCCGCGGUAAUACGGAGGAUGCAAGCGUUAUCCGGAUUCAUUGGGUUUAAAGGGUGCGUAGGCGGGUUAGUAAGUCAGUGGUGAAAGCCUACAGCUUAACUGUAGAAUUGCCAUUGAUACUGCUAGCCUUGAGUGCAGUUGAGGUAGCUGGAAUGUGUGGUGUAGCGGUGAAAUGCUUAGAUAUCACACAGAACACCGAUUGCGAAGGCAGGUUACUAAACUGCAACUGACGCUGAGGCACGAAAGCGUGGGGAGCAAACAGGAUUAGAUACCCUGGUAGUCCACGCCCUAAACGAUGAUAACUCGCUGUUGGCGAUAUACUGCCAGUGGCUAAGCGAAAGCGUUAAGUUAUCCACCUGGGGAGUACGACCGCAAGGUUGAAACUUAAAGGAAUUGGCGGG
rnacentral:rRNA from 1 species